rnacentral:rRNA from 1 species
AACGAACGCUGGCGGCAUGCCUAACACAUGCAAGUCGAACGAUUGCCUUCGGGUGAUAGUGGCGCACGGGUGCGUAACGCGUGGGAAUCUGCCCUUAGGUUCGGAAUAACAGCUGGAAACGGCUGCUAAUACCGGAUGAUAUCGCGAGAUCAAAGAUUUAUCGCCUGAGGAUGAGCCCGCGUUGGAUUAGGUAGUUGGUGGGGUAAAGGCCUACCAAGCCGACGAUCCAUAGCUGGUCUGAGAGGAUGAUCAGCCACACUGGGACUGAGACACGGCCCAGACUCCUACGGGAGGCAGCAGUGGGGAAUAUUGGACAAUGGGCGCAAGCCUGAUCCAGCAAUGCCGUGUGAGUGAUGAAGACCCUAGGGUUGUAAAGCUCUUUUACCCGGGAAGAUAAUGACUGUACCGGGAGAAUAAGCCCCGGCUAACUCCGUG